rnacentral:lncRNA from 1 species
CGAGGUCGGGGCAAGGAGACUCAGGGCCUGCGCUGCUCACCGGGUGAGAAGUCACAGCUGGUUAGGAGGCCACAGGUAAGCAGAGGUGCGAGCCACCAGGGACGGGGUGAGUUAUUCACAGGUGAAUGAGCUAGGACGAGGCAACAGCACGCAGGCCACGCCUCGCCAACCCAUGGGUCCUCAACAGGAUUUUGGUGACACGCAACACCCCUCUGGCUCCUGCUCUGAUCCAUGAUGGUGAGGGAGGUUCCCACGGUCACGCGUGUGCUGGGAUUCUGCUCUUUACGCCGUCCCCGGGCAACACAGACAUCAGCUCUUCUCUCCUCCAGCUGAGCAAAUGUAAGCUGUCCAGGAGAAUCCAUCCCAGCUGCUAACAAAAUCUUCAGACGAGAGUCAGUCUGAUUCGGAGUGGAAUGAAAUGAGCAUUCGGCAAUACCUCCGUGUGCCAGUGCAGCUGAGUUCUCGACGGCAAUGUCGCUGAUGGCGAGAUUCCGGGCCAUCCAUUUAUCCUGUGUGGAGGCUGACAGGGACGCAUGCCUCAUCUGCUGCCAAGACACUGGGUUCCCUUGAGGGGACUCUGUCGACAUAACUCACCCUGUCCCGGGUGGCUCGCACCUCUGCUUACCUGUGGCCUCCUAACCAGCUGUGACUUCUCACCUGGGCAGCCCGUGGGUCCUGAGAUGAGCAAGUCCACAUCUGAUUUAGGAAAUGAAGAGUUUCUCGGUGGCCAACGUGGUCAGGAGGAGAAUGAAAAUAAACUCAGUCUAUGCCACCGAGGGCACGUCAGGCAACAGCCCCCGCCCUCCUGGUCUGGCUGCCUCAAGGAAUGUUCCAGGGCACGUGAGUCUCACCUGCGGCCUUAGAAGGUAGCACCCCACUCAGACGCAAUUUGAACCCCAUGAUCACAGCCGCCCAGACCCCACUCAGACGUAGUUCAGACCCUGGAUCACAGCCGCCCAGACCCCACUCAGACGUAGUUCAGACCCUGGAUCACAGCCGUCCAGACCCCACUCAGAUGUAGUUCAGACCCUGGAUCCGUCCAGACCCCACUCAGACGCAGUUCGGACCCUGGAUCACAGCCGUCCAGACCCCACUCAGACGCAGUUUGGACCCUGGAUCACAGCCGUCCAGACCCCACUCAGACGCAGUUCGGACUCUGGAUCCGUCCAGAUCCCACUCAGACGUAGUUCAGACCCUGGAUCACAGCCAUCCAGACCCCACUCAGAUGUAGUUCAGACCCUGGAUCACAGCCAUCCAGACCCCACUCAGAUGUAGUUCAGACCCUGGAUCCGUCCAGACCCCACUCAGACGUAGUUCAGACCCUGGAUCACAGCCGUCCAGACCCCACUCAGAUGUAGUUCAGACCCUGGAUCCGUCCAGACCCCACUCAGACGCAGUUCAGACCCUGGAUCACAGCCGUCCAGACUCCACUCAGACUCAGUUCAGACCCUGGAUCACAGCCGUCCAGACCCCACUCAGACGCAGUUCAGACCCUGGAUCACAGCCGCCCAGACCCCACUCAGAUGUAGUUCAGACCCUGGAUCACAGCCGUCCAGACCCCACUCAGACGCAGUUCAGACCCUGGAUCACAGCCGUCCAGACCCCACUCACACUCAGUUCAGACCCUGGAUCACAGCCGCCCAGACCCCACUCAGACGCAGUUCAGACCCUGGAUCACAGCCGCCCAGACCCCACUCAGACGCAGUUCAGACCCUGGAUCACAGCCGCCCAGACCCCACUCAGACGCAGUUCAGACCCUGGAUCACAGCCGUCCAGACCCCACUCAGACGCAGUUCGGACCCUGGAUCACAGCCGCCCAGACCCCACUCAGACGCAGUUCAGACCCUGGAUCCGUCCAGACCCCACUCAGACGCAGUUCGGACCCUGGAUCACAGCCGUCCAGACCCCACUCAGACGCAGUUCAGACCCUGGAUCACAGCCGUCCAGACCCCACUCAGACGCAGUUCGGACCCUGGAUCACAGCCGUCCAGACCCCACUCAGACGCAGUUCGGACCCUGGAUCACAGCCGCCCAGACCCCACUCAGACGCAGUUCAGACCCUGGAUCCGUCCAGACCCCACUCAGACGCAGUUCGGACCCUGGAUCACAGCCGCCCAGACCCCACUCAGACGCAGUUCAGACCCUGGAUCCGUCCAGACCCCACUCAGACGUAGUUCAGACCCUGGAUCACAGCCGUCCAGACCCCACUCAGACGCAGUUCGGACCCUGGAUCACAGCCGCCCAGACCGCACUCAGAUGUAGUUCAGACCCUGGAUCACAGCCGUCCAGACCCCACUCAGACGCAGUUCAGACCCUGGAUCACAGCCGCCCAGACCGCACUCAGAUGUAGUUCAGACCCUGGAUCACAGCCGUCCAGACCCCACUCAGACGCAGUUCAGACCCUGGAUCACAGCCGUCCAGACUCCACUCAGACGUAGUUCAGACCCUGGAUCACAGCCGUCCAGACCCCACUCAGACUCAGUUCAGACCCUGGAUCCGUCCAGACCCCACUCACACUCAGUUCAGACCCUGGAUCACAGCCGCCCAGACCCCACUCAGACGCAGUUCAGACCCUGGAUCACAGCCGUCCAGACCCCACUCAGACGUAGUUCAGACCCUGGAUCACAGCCGCCCAGACCACACUCAGAUAUAGUUCAGACCCUGGAUCACAGCCGUCCAGACCCCACUCAGACGCAGUUCAGACCCUGGAUCACAGCCGCCCAGACCGCACUCAGAUGUAGUUCAGACCCUGGAUCACAGCCGUCCAGACCCCACUCAGACGCAGUUCAGACCCUGGAUCACAGCCGUCCAGACUCCACUCAGACUCAGUUCAGACCCUGGAUCACAGCCGUCCAGACCCCACUCAGACGCAGUUCAGACCCUGGAUCACAGCCGCCCAGACCGCACUCAGAUGUAGUUCAGACCCUGGAUCACAGCCGUCCAGACCCCACUCAGACGCAGUUCAGACCCUGGAUCACAGCCGUCCAGACCCCACUCAGACGCAGUUCGGACCCUGGAUCACAGCCGUCCAGACCCCACUCAGACGCAGUUCGGACCCUGGAUCACAGCCGCCCAGACCCCACUCAGACGCAGUUCAGACCCUGGAUCACAGCCGUCCAGACCCCACUCAGACGCAGUUCGGACCCUGGAUCACAGCCGUCCAGACCCCACUCAGACGCAGUUCGGACCCCGGAUCACAGCCGCCCAGACCCCACUCAGACGCAGUUCAGACCCUGGAUCACAGCCGCCCAGACCCCACUCAGACGCAGUUCAGACCCUGGAUCACAGCCGCCCAGACCCCACUCAGAUGUAGUUCAGACCCUGGAUCACAGCCGCCCAGACCCCACUCAGAUGUAGUUCAGACCCUGGAUCACAGCCGUCCAGACCCCACUCAGACGCAGUUGGGACCCUGGAUCACAGCUGUCCGUCCGCCCGAGCAGAUUCUUGUCCAGGUGUUUUUCCACUUGCAGCUCCGCGCUGGGCAGCUUCAGGCCUGUUACAGCGACGGUGCGGCUUCCCUGCCUGGGUUGUUGGGACGGAAGGGAUUCCACCCUGGGGCGGUGUGGGGUGGCUUCCCUGCUCUCCCUGCUCUCUGCGUUCCCACGGUGCAGGAUGGCGGCGUUGAGAGCCAGAAACGAAACCCUGAGAAGCAGAAGCCGGGCGUCCUGCCCGCCCUCCUCUACCAGGCCUCAUCUGGAGGGCUGCGCCAGGUCCUUCCAACUUCAAAGAGUUGCCUGUGAAGGGCGUCCUCCAGGUGGGUCUGCAGUGCAGUCAAGGCCUCCUGCAAUUAAUAUGCUGGGAACACAUUUUAAAUAGCUCCCUCCUCCCUUGAAUAGCAGACGGGGACAACAAGCCUGUUAUUCAGUAUUCCAUUUUUGAUAGCUCAUUGUAUCUAAAAAGAGAUCAAUUAAAGCUCUCAGAAAGCUCUCCAGCUUAAUUGAAGGACAAUUUAGACAUUGCAGUAACGGCAGAUCUGCCGUCCAUUGCCGCAUUUAUUCGGGCUGGGAGCUAUUGGCGUCUCCCACACACCCUCGCAGAUGAAGAGAUUUCAACUGGAAAGGAAACGCUACCAUCAGAGGAAAGAUAAAUUGUCACCAACUUCAUUCUUCAACGGAUAAAGGGAGCUUUGGAAAUAAAAAAUAGACCCGAACCAUGAUGUGGUGGAAUUAUCUGUGCCUGUGCUCUCCUGAGCAGCCGGGCCUGCGUUCCUUCUUCUUCCCUGUGAAGGGGCAGCGCUGGGCCCGCUUAUUAGUGCAACAGCAAAGACUCAUUAAGUUUACAGCCCGCCCGUGACGUGAGGCAGCUCUGGCCAGAAAUCUCAAGUUCAUCCCAUCAAGUCAAUUUUGUCUGUAUUUUAAGAACUUAUCUCUUGCAAAAUGGGACCUUAACAUGUUUGUGAUGGUCCACAGAUAGCUCUUACUGAAAGCGAGAAUGGCAGGUGACCAAAAAAAAAAAAAAACAAACAAAAAAAAAAACACACAAAAUGGUGACCUCAGGGACGUGAUGAAAGGGCAAUGAUGACUUCACUGUGUGUUUUCCUGACCGUGGAGUAGAGCCGUCCCAGGCAGACUCUCUGGGCCCUGCUCAGGACGGUCAUGAAACCCCAUGCUCUUGUUAUGUGAAUAUUGAAAGCAACGCCAGGGUCUGGGAGGGCAGUGGGAUGAGCCUGGCCUGGGGCAGGUGGCACCAGGGCUGCUGAGUUUCCAGGGGCACUGGCUGGUGAGUGGCCACAGCCCCUCCCGUUGGUCACCACCUGGUGGGCAGCAGCAUGAAGCCCCCGGGGGUGCGGAGUGUUGGGCUGUGUGCCACCUUCGGGGGCUCUGAUGAGCAGCUCCACUCCUUGGCCCAGGGCAGGCUUCUCAGGAGCAGGCUUGGGGGUCUGUGGCUUUUCACACGGGACGUGGACUAGCUGCUUGCCUGAGAGACCACCCUUCUGGAUUCCAGAGGACCCAGCCAGAGUCGUCACGGCAGGGUCUGCAGGGUUGGAGAAGGCUCUGUUGGGGCCGGGCACAGCAGGUGGUGGCAGGAGGAUAAUGCCGGGGCCUGGACAGGGGGUACAGGGGCGGGAAUGGAUGCACAGGUACAGACCCUGCUCUUACGUCUAGGAGGCGGGUAUAGUCAAUGCGAUGUGUAAUGUGUACAUACAGUGUGAAAUGUAUGUAGCAUGUAAAGUACACAUAAUAAAGUUUAUAUGAUUUGUAAAGUACAAAUGCUAUGUCAAGUGUACAUACCACAUAAAGUCUAUAUAACAUGUAGGGUGUAUAUGAUAUGUAAAGAGUAUGUAAUAUGUCAAGUAAACAAAAUACGUAUGGUCUAUAUAAUUCAAAGUGUCUACAUUAUAUAUAAAGUCUACAUAUUAGGUAAAGUCUAUAUAAUAUGUGAAGUCUAUAAU